ACGGGAGGCAGCAGUGGGGAAUAUUGCACAAUGGGCGCAAGUCUGAUGCAGCAACGCCGCGUGAGCGAAGAAGGUCUUCGGAUCGUAAAGCUCUGUCCUUGGGGACGAAGAAGUGACGGUACCCAAGGAGGAAGCCCCGGCUAACUACGUGCCAGCAGCCGCGGUAAUACGUAGGGGGCGAGCGUUAUCCGGAAUUAUUGGGCGUAAAGAGUACGUAGGUGGUUUUGUAAGCGUAAGGUGAAAGCCCGGGGCUUAACUCCGGCGAGCCGUACGAACUGCAAGACUUGAGUGCAGGAGGGGAAAGUGGAAUUCCUAGUGUAGCGGUGAAAUGCGUAGAUAUUAGGAGGAACACCAGUGGCGAAGGCGACUUUCUGGACUGUAACUGACACUGAGGUACGAAAGCGUGGGGAGCAAACAGGAUUAGAUACCCUGGUA
rnacentral:rRNA from 1 species